CAGCCGCCGCGGUAAUACGUAGGUCCCGAGCGUUGUCCGGAUUUAUUGGGCGUAAAGCGGGCGCAGGCGGUUAGAUAAGUCUGAAGUUAAAGGCUGUGGCUUAACCAUAGUACGCUUUGGAAACUGUUUAACUUGAGUGCAAGAGGGGAGAGUGGAAUUCCAUGUGUAGCGGUGAAAUGCGUAGAUAUAUGGAGGAACACCGGUGGCGAAAGCGGCUCUCUGGCUUGUAACUGACGCUGAGGCUCGAAAGCGUGGGGAGCAAACAGGAUUAGAUACCCCUGUAGUCCCUGUCUCUUAUACA
rnacentral:rRNA from 1 species